AACGCGAAGAACCUUACCUGGGCUCGAAAUGUAGUGGAAUGGGGUGGAAACAUCCCCGUCUCGCAAGAGACUGCUAUAUAGGUGCUGCAUGGCUGUCGUCAGCUCGUGUCGUGAGAUGUUGGGUUAAGUCCCGCAACGAGCGCAACCCUUAUCCCUAGUUGCCAUCGGGUCAAGCCGGGCACUCUAGUGAAACCGCCCGGGAUAACCGGGAGGAAGGUGGGGAUGACGUCAAGUCCUCAUGGCCUUUAUGUCCAGGGCUACACACGUGCUACAAUGGUCGGUACAAACCGUCGCAAACCCGUGAGGGGGAGCUAAUCGGAAAAAGCCGGCCUCAGUUCGGAUUGGAGUCUGCAACCCGACUCCAUGAAGCUGGAAUCGCUAGUAAUCGCGGAUCAGAACGCCGCGGUGAAUACGUUCCCGGGCCUUGUA
rnacentral:rRNA from 1 species